rnacentral:rRNA from 1 species
AGAGUUUGAUCAUGGCUCAGGAUGAACGCUGGCGGCGUGCCUAACACAUGCAAGUCGAGCGGAGGGACUGUGAAUGAGGCUUCGGCGGAUUUUACAUUUCCUUAGCGGCGGACGGGUGAGUAACGUGUGGGCAACCUGCCCUGCAGUGGGGAAUAAUCAUUGGAAACGAUGACUAAUACCGCAUACGGUCUCCGGGAGGCAUCUUCUGGAGAAGAAAGGAUUUAUUCGCUGCAGGAUGGGCCCGCAUCUGAUUAGCUAGUUGGUGAGAUAACAGCCCACCAAGGCAACGAUCAGUAGCCGACCUGAGAGGGUGAUCGGCCACAUUGGGACUGAGACACGGCCCAA